rnacentral:lncRNA from 1 species
AUGUUGACACUGUGCGAAGUGGCCUACACCUGCACAGGCACCUAUAUCGGCAGCAACUAUGCAGCGGACCACACCAUUUUCCACAGAGGCUCACACGCCGGACGGCAGAGCCAUCACCAUGGUAAACGCCAAGACCCAGACUGGGAGUGGGCGGAGACGAUGCUCACAGGCAGCUGUCGAGUUCAAAGCCAGCAGAAGAUGUUUGAGCCAGAAGUCUUGGUGGAAUCACAGGCGGGUAUUGUUGUGGGGUGUGACUCAGAGGUAAGAUAGACUUAACCGACGGGGGCACAGGGGCCUGUGUUGUAUGGAAAAUGGAUCACAACAAAACUGUCACGUCUCAUGAUGUCAGGACAGAUAGAAUAUACAGCUUUUGUUUUUUCCAUUCUAAGAAUGAAGAGACGUGUGGACAAGGAGAAUGAGUGCAGCAUAUCGAUUGUGGGGCCACCUUCCCUGUUGCCAUACCGACCUGAAUCAAAACAACCUCCUUUUCAUUUCGAAGAGGAAGUCUCCAUCUCUUCUUCCUCAACUUAUUAUCUUUACACCUGUGGCGCUUCUUGCUUUUAAAAAGACGUUUUUGUCUUUCACACACAUUGUAGCAUGGCAAGAUUUUUGCAUAAUUCGGAGGAGUGAGUGAGGGAUGAUGUUCUCUAUGUCCCAGUGUUGACCCGGUCCUGUGGGCCUCGACUGGAACUUGGAAUAGAGUUUCUUCCAUGCCAGUACUGCCAGCAACCCAGUAAGCUCUUCGUAAGCCGCCAACAAUUGGAAAAGAAUCCUCACCAGGAUUUUGUGAGUACUGCUUAAGGUGAUGUUUUUCUUUGAACUAUCAAUUCAAAGUAAAUCAAUGCAAAAAAAAAAU